rnacentral:SRP_RNA from 1 species
GGCUGGUCAUUUUUGAUAGUAGGCCUUUGCGAAUUCCGCCAGGACAGAAAUGUAGCAACGGUAGCAAGUAGGUCUGGGUAUCUUGAUUGAUUAGCCGGC